UGUGCCAGCAGUCGCGGUUACACAAUUUAUAUAAAUUAAUAUAAUUAAUUAUAAUUGAAUUUUUUUAAAUAUUUUUUAUAAAUAAAUAAUUAUUGAUUAAAUAAUAAAUUUUUUCUACAUAAAAAAAUUUUUAAUUAAUUGAUUUUAAAAAACUUUUUAAAAAACUAGGAUUAGAUACCCUACUAUUAAAAUUAAAUUUAAAAAAUUUAAAUAUUAAAUAUUAAUUUAUUAAAUUUAAAAAAAUUGACGGUAUUUUUUUUUAGAUAAACUUGAAAUUUAAUUUGAUAGUCCACAAUUUAAUCAACUAAUUAAAAAUUUUUAUAUAUUACUGUUUAAAUUUAAUUUUAUAAUUUUAAUUUUUUAUUAUUUUUAUAAUUUAAUUCAAGUCUAAAUAUAAAUUUAAAUUAGAAUAUUUGAGUUUCUUUAAAAUAUAAAUUAAUUAAAUUUAAUUAAAUUAUUAAUUUAUAAACUAAAAAUAUAUUUAUUUAUAUAUAUAUAAUAUUUAAAAAUUUUAUAUAUUAGAAUUUAAAAAUAAAAAUUUUUAUUUAAAAAUUUUAAAAAUCAAAAUAAAAUAUGUACAUAUAGCCCGUCAUUUUUAUAUAUUUAAAAUUUUUUUUAUAUAUAAAACAAGUCGAAACAAAGUAAUCUUACUGGAAAGUAAAAUUAGAAAU
rnacentral:rRNA from 1 species